CCCCUCUCAGGGUCACACCUGGAGAGUUCCCAGUACUCUACCAGUCUUGACUACCUACAGCAGGGAGAGUCAGGCAGAGGCAUAUCCAUUCCAUUCCUAGCUUGGGCAGUGGCUAGCGAGUGGAAGGCAAUCUGCUACAAGU